UUAAAUUGAAGAGUUUGAUCAUGGCUCAGAUUGAACGCUGGCGGCAGGCCUAACACAUGCAAGUCGAACGGUAACAGGAAGAAGCUUGCUUCUUUGCUGACGAGUGGCGGACGGGUGAGUAAUGUCUGGGAAACUGCCUGAUGGAGGGGGAUAACUACUGGAAACGGUAGCUAAUACCGCAUAACGUCGCAAGACCAAAGAGGGGGACCUUCGGGCCUCUUGCCAUCGGAUGUGCCCAGAUGGGAUUAGCUUGUUGGUGGGGUAACGGCUCACCAAGGCGACGAUCCCUAGCUGGUCUGAGAGGAUGACCAGCCACACUGGAACUGAGACACGGUCCAGACUCCUACGGGAGGCAGCAGUGGGGAAUAUUGCACAAUGGGCGCAAGCCUGAUGCAGCCAUGCCGCGUGUAUGAAGAAGGCCUUCGGGUUGUAAAGUACUUUCAGCGGGGAGGAAGGGAGUAAAGCUAAUACCUUUGCUCAUUGACGUUACCCGCAGAAGAAGCACCGGCUAACUCCGUGCCAGCAGCCGCGGUAAUACGGAGGGUGCAAGCGUUAAUCGGAAUUACUGGGCGUAAAGCGCACGCAGGCGGUUUGUUAAGUCAGAUGUGAAAUCCCCGGGCUCAACCUGGGAACUGCAUCUGAUACUGGCAAGCUUGAGUCUCGUAGAGGGGGGUAGAAUUCCAGGUGUAGCGGUGAAAUGCGUAGAGAUCUGGAGGAAUACCGGUGGCGAAGGCGGCCCCCUGGACGAAGACUGACGCUCAGGUGCGAAAGCGUGGGGAGCAAACAGGAUUAGAUACCCUGGUAGUCCACGCCGUAAACGAUGUCGACUUGGAGGUUGUGCCCUUGAGGCGUGGCUUCCGGAGCUAACGCGUUAAGUCGACCGCCUGGGGAGUACGGCCGCAAGGUUAAAACUCAAAUGAAUUGACGGGGGCCCGCACAAGCGGUGGAGCAUGUGGUUUAAUUCGAUGCAACGCGAAGAACCUUACCUGGUCUUGACAUCCACGGAAGUUUUCAGAGAUGAGAAUGUGCCUUCGGGAACCGUGAGACAGGUGCUGCAUGGCUGUCGUCAGCUCGUGUUGUGAAAUGUUGGGUUAAGUCCCGCAACGAGCGCAACCCUUAUCCUUUGUUGCCAGCGGUCCGGCCGGGAACUCAAAGGAGACUGCCAGUGAUAAACUGGAGGAAGGUGGGGAUGACGUCAAGUCAUCAUGGCCCUUACGACCAGGGCUACACACGUGCUACAAUGGCGCAUACAAAGAGAAGCGACCUCGCGAGAGCAAGCGGACCUCAUAAAGUGCGUCGUAGUCCGGAUUGGAGUCUGCAACUCGACUCCAUGAAGUCGGAAUCGCUAGUAAUCGUGGAUCAGAAUGCCACGGUGAAUACGUUCCCGGGCCUUGUACACACCGCCCGUCACACCAUGGGAGUGGGUUGCAAAAGAAGUAGGUAGCUUAACCUUCGGGAGGGCGCUUACCACUUUGUGAUUCAUGACUGGGGUGAAGUCGUAACAAGGUAACCGUAGGGGAACCUGCGGUUGGAUCACCUCCUUACCUUAAAGAAGC
rnacentral:rRNA from 1 species